UACGUAGGGUGCAAGCGUUGUCCGGAAUUAUUGGGCGUAAAGAGCUCGUAGGCGGUUUGUCGCGUCUGCUGUGAAAUCCCCGGGCUCAACCUGGGAAUGGCAGUGGAUACUGGCAAGCUAGAGUGCGGUAGAGGGUAGUGGAAUUCCCGGUGUAGCGGUGAAAUGCGUAGAGAUCGGGAGGAACACCAGUGGCGAAGGCGGCUACCUGGACCAGCACUGACACUCAGGCACGAAAGCGUGGGGGAGCAAACAGGG
rnacentral:rRNA from 1 species